GACGAACGCUGGCGGCGUGCUUAACACAUGCAAGUCGAACGGAAAGACCCUGCUUUUGUGGGGUGCUCGAGUGGCGAACGGGUGAGUAACACGUGAGUAACCUGCCCUUGACUUUGGGAUAACUUCAGGAAAAUGGGGCUAAUACCGGAUAGGAGCUCCUGCUGCAUGGUGGGGGUUGGAAAGUUUCGGCGGUUGGGGAGGGACUCGCGGCUUAUCGGCUUGUUGGUGGGGUAGUGGCUUACCAAGGCUUUGACGGGUAGCCGGCCUGGGAGGGUGGCCGGCCACAUUGGGACUGAGAUACGGCCCAGACUCCUACGGGAGGCAGCAGUGGGGAAUAUUGCACAAUGGGCGGAAGCCUGAUGCAGCAACGCCGCGUGCGGGAUGACGGCCUUCGGGUUGUAAACCGCUUUCGCCUGUGACGAAGCGUGAGUGACGGUAAUGGGUAAAGAAGCACCGGCUAACUACGUG
rnacentral:rRNA from 1 species